UAAGAUGGAAUGGUAGGAAGAUUCAGAGACUAGUAAGAUUAUAAAAAAAUUGGAGGAAGCACCAAGCUCCGUAGCUCAUUACAAUUGGGACUCAAAAGAAUUACACUACAAGAGUACUAAAUUGAAAAGGAGUAUGGCAUAUCACUCACAAACCGACGGCCAGACAGAAGUUGUAAAUAGGUGCUUGGAGAUAGCCCAAAGCCACCCACCAAAUAUGACUACCCAAGGAGGACUUCAGACUCAGCCAAGUGCCAUUAUUGAUCGACGGAUUAUGACUCGACGACGACGAUCCACUACUGAAUUGCUAAUACAGUGGGCAAACCUACUAACAAAAGAUGCCACUUUGGAGAACUAUGAUGACUUGAAGAUCAAAUUCCCAAAAUUCAUGAAUCGAUAGCCUCGAGGACAAGGCUGAUUUGAAGAGGGCGGGUUUGUUAGGACUCUAGCUAGGAGAGUACUAAUUGAGAGGGACAUUCAUGUAAAACUGUUAGGACUUUAGC
rnacentral:lncRNA from 1 species